CACGUAGGGUGCAAGCGUUGUCCGGAAUCAUUGGGCGUAAAGAGCUCGUAGGCGGCUUAGUAAGUCGGGUGUGAAAACUCUAGGCUCAACCUAGAGACGCCACCCGAUACUGCUAUAGCUAGAAUCCAGUAGGGGAGUGUGGAAUUCCCGGUGUAGCGGUGAAAUGCGCAGAUAUCGGGAGGAACACCGGUGGCGAAGGCGGCGACCUGGGUAGAUACUGACGCUGAGGCGCGAAAGCGUGGGAGCAAACAGG
rnacentral:rRNA from 1 species